CAGUACUCUAGCUGAUCGAGCAGUCAAAAGGCUGCUUGACCUAAGCAUCUUCUUUUCCAAAAAGUGAAGGAAUUAGUAACCAAUGUAAUGGAAACAGAAAUCACCAGAAUACUGAGGCCUGAGCAGGAGGCUGCUGUGCUUUGGCAGGAACCCCGAGGCUGCCGUGCUGUCUGCUGUGGGGAGCCUGCAGAGCUGCUUCCUCUGCCAAGCUAAUGAAUGGCCAAUUGGUUUUGGAGCUGCUGUGAGGAGAACAAGGAGUGACAAUAAAUGGGAAAUACUGCGGCUACAGGUCAGCCCAGAAGCCUUGAGCCAGAUGCCUCAGUGAAAAACGUUGUAUUUCAUAUUUCUGUCAUGCAUACAAUGGAAAGCACCCUACGUCCAACAUAGGAAGCAUUCUAUUCAACACAGCUUUUUGGAGGUUUCGAUACAAAUUUUUGUACCAAAAAUUGGCCUCACUAUGGAGCAAAUUCAGAGCUCCCUGUCGCUGCUGGGGUUCUAUAUACCACACCAGGCCCCCUGAUCUGCUCGAGGGCACUUUGACAGCCAGUGCUGCAACAGCCAAGGUGCAGCAUGAACUGGGGCCUUCGCAACUGCAGAAAGGUCAAAUCUUGUUUCCUUGUUGAAGGUCUUCCAAGCCCCAGCAAAAAUACUUCAGUUCUUUAAUUUUGCCCACAUGUAUCUUGUAUGUUUAGCCCUAGCACCUCAAAGCUUGGAUGUUUUCCUGUGA
rnacentral:lncRNA from 1 species